AAGGAACGUUAAAGACGAUGACGUUGAUAGGUCGGGUGUGUAAGCGUAGCGAUACGUUGAGCUAACCGAUACUAAUGAACCGUGAGGCUUAACCUU
rnacentral:rRNA from 1 species